rnacentral:misc_RNA from 1 species
UCUCCGUUGGUGAACCAGCGGAGGGAUCAUUACCGAGUUUACAACUCCCAAACCCUAUGUGAACUAUACCUGUCUACCGUUGCUUCGGCGGGUUCGCCCGCCGAGGGACCGACAAAUAAACUCUUGUAUUUCUAUCUUUAGCAUGUCUGAGUGGAAUCAUAAACAAAUGAAUCAAAACUUUCAACAACGGAUCUCUUGGUUCUG